rnacentral:lncRNA from 1 species
AUAUUGUUGUUCCUCCUGCAGGGUUGCAGACCCCUUUAGCUCCUUGAGUACUUUCUCUAGCUCCUUUUUUGGGGCCCCUGUGUUCCAUUCAAUAGAUGAUUGUGAGCAUACACUUCUGUAUUUACCAGACAAUGGCAUAGCCUCGCAAAAGACAGCUACAUCAGGGUCCUGUCAGCAAAAUCUUGCUGGUAUAUGCAGUAGUGUCUGGUCUCUUUCUCUGUGUACCCUGACUGUGGUUCUGGACUUGUUUAUGAUAUUGGAGAGCUUUGCUUUCAUGUCAAAUGCAGCCUUGGCACAUGAACACCCCUUUCAUUUUACAACCCUUUGAAACUCUGACACUUGUAGAUCGUUACAGUAAAAUGUCUAUAUCUCAUAGCAUCUCUGAGAGAGUGACAUUAUACAUAUAAAGUUUAUUUUUGAUUCAGAGCUUAGAUGACAGCUGAUCAUCCUGUUAUUUUUUACAAAAAACUGAGUUAAGUAGCAGUAGAGUCCACACAACCUUAGAGUAGAGGGAGCUGGUUUCAUAUUUCCCAGAGAGCACCCCUCAACUUGAUAUUAUAGCUGUUUUAUGCAUGACAUAAAAGUAAAAAUAUUGUCUCAUAUGGUAUUGAGUGUAGAGUGCAAACAGUAGAUGUUUCAGUCGCUCCUUGAAUUUGUAUCUCAUUGUGUCCUAUCUUGACAAUAAUGCUAAAAAGUGCCAUUGCUGUCAGCCAUUAAAAUAGAAUCAAGAUUUUAAUAGGCAUGAUUUUGUACUCACUCUACCCUCCCCUGUAGUGGCUAAAUAGAAACAUUUUAUAUUAAGCUUCUUUCACUGAUUAGAAGAAAGAGAACAGGGAAGAAAUGUUGCCUGCUUAGUCCUUCUCUGUUGCCAUUCAAGUAGACUCUGCACUUUCUUAGCCACUUGAGAAUAUGCUGACAACACUUGAGAGCUAGGGUCUAGGUGUGACUUCCUGAAAAUGGGCCAUAGACCAGGGGUUCUGACCAACCUGGCUGUUCCAACUCAAUUGUCUUCUAAUUCAGAAACAUUAGUUUAAUUCCCUUGGUCCUAUUGCUAGAGUUACUAUUAUUGGGUCCAAGCUAAUCAUUUCUCAGUGCUUCAUCUUUAUCCUUUUAAAGUUCAUUUUCUAUCCUAAGUGAUGUUUUGAAUGGAGACAUACCUUGUUGCGUCCUGGAAAAUAUCUUCAGGACUUUUCUGUCACUUUCAAAAUAAAAUAUCUGAGUAUGUGAUGAUGGCACCCAAAGGCUUUUCUUCUGCUGCUUCUUUUUUGUUGUUUUGCAUAUGAUUUCUCUUCUUCAUCCUGUGCUCUAUACUCAUUUAUCUAGAAACUCUUACCUUGUCACAACCUCUCACCCUGUGUGACAUAGGUGAAAGUCUUGCUCUCUCUGUCUUACCUUUUGCUUUUAAGCUCCAGGGGGAAUCACCCCAAACUGAGCUGAUACUGCUACCAAUAGUUUGAGUCAGGACACAUCUCAUGAACAAGAUUUGAUAAAUAGGCUAGUGUGAAAUCAGAGAGUAGACUCUCCUUUUAAUAACUGCAACAGGAGAGUUUCCAAGCAUGCAAGGGCACUAAGCGAGAGAGCAUCUGCACCUAAAUGUGAAUUAGUCCCCUCUGUGCAACAGAGACUCCAGGCUUCCUUGCUUGCAACUGCCUCUAUGGUCAAAACAUGAGUCACCAUCACUCCAGUAUCACAGAUAAUAGUGAAUUCUUACGGAAAUCAGUAGAAACUGGGUUUAUUUGACUUUCUUCAUGUGAAAUAAUAAACAGCACAUCUUUGGAGUCCUGGACCAUAUCUGACCUUCACUGGUUACACUGAAGCUGGGUGAAUUCCAGCAACAAAGUUAGCCCCUUGCAUUGGGCUUUCUGCAUGACGGAGUAGCUCCAGUAUGUUGCUACAGGUAGGGCUAUAGAACUCUGGGGAUUCAGCAGCUUGUGAGGGAAUUUCUGCACAUUCUGUAGACCAGGUUCGAUGGCAAAUAGUGAAGUUGUUGAGUAAGCCCUUCUAGAAAAUGAGAAAAGAUGGCAAGACAAACAAACAAACAAGAAACCUAGUACAAAUGGAAAGGACUCAAUAAGCAAGAGUGAUAGGACU